rnacentral:rRNA from 1 species
UACGUAGGGUGCAAGCGUUGUCCGGAAUUAUUGGGCGUAAAGAGCUCGUAGGCGGUCUGUCGCGUCGGCUGUGAAAACCCGGAGCUCAACUCCGGGCCUGCAGUCGAUACGGGCAGACUGGAGUUCGGCAGGGGAGACUGGAAUUCCUGGUGUAGCGGUGAAAUGCGCAGAUAUCAGGAGGAACACCGGUGGCGAAGGCGGGUCUCUGGGCAGUAACUGACGCUGAGGAACGAAAAGCGUGGGUAGCGAACAGG